rnacentral:rRNA from 1 species
UACAGAGGUCCCGAGCGUUGUUCGGAUUCAUUGGGCGUAAAGGGUGCGUAGGCGGCGGGCAAGUCUGAUGUGAAAUCCUGGGGCUCAACCCUGGAACUGCAUUGGAUACUGCCGUUGCUAGAGUACUGGAGAGGAAACUGGAAUUUACGGUGUAGCAGUGAAAUGCGCAGAUAUCAGGAGGAACACCGGUGGCGAAGGCGGAUCUCUGGGCCAUUACUGACGCUGAGGAGCGAAAGCGUGGGGAGCGAACAGG